CUCUGGGUCCCAGUCGCUGACUGCAAAAGGAAGCCAAAACUGACAACAACGUUUCCUUCUCUACGGAGGUUUGUAGAAAAGCUGUACAAAAAUCUCACAAGAUGUAUUUCUUCUCGUGGACUGGAGUCCCAAGUCUGUUUAUCCAGCCUGGGGAAGAAACUGGCUCCAUUUAAACAAUGGGACAAAAAAGGUGCAAACUUGACCAGCUUCCCUACCUUUUUUGCAUUAGCGUGGUCAAACAUUUUGCAUCCAGGAAAAGUACUGCAGAAAAUCACACUGUGGGCAGCUAUCUGGUAUGUUGUUAUUUGAAUAUUUGAAUACAAAUAGGAAGACUGGAAAGGAGAAAGUUACUGUGUACACAGAUACAUAGUAACUUAUAUAUACUUAAAACAACUUUUUUUUUUUUUUUUUUUUUUUUUUUACAGAUUUCUAAUAGUCUGCUAAGUCCUCUUUCUGAUUGAUGAUUUUUGUGUGUGUGAAAUUCUCUAAAUAUUUAUUUGUAUUCCUAGAAAGUGAAAAUGAAUAUAAAUGCUAAAG
rnacentral:lncRNA from 1 species